AAGAGCCUGGCGGUAUGCUUAACACAUGCAAGUCGAACGGGCUCUUUUGGUGGCAAGUGGCGGACGGGUGAGUAACGCGUGAGAAUCUGGCUCUAGGUUCGGGACAACCACUGGAAACGGUGGCUAAUACCGGAUGUGCCGAGAGGUGAAAGGUUAACUGCCUGGAGAUGAGCUCGCGUCUGAUUAGCUAGUUGGUGGUGUAAGGGACUACCAAGGCGACGAUCAGUAGCUGGUCUGAGAGGAUGAUCAGCCACACUGGAACUGAGACACGGUCCAGACUCCUACGGGAGGCAGCAGUGGGGAAUUUUCCGCAAUGGGCGAAAGCCUGACGGAGCAAUACCGCGUGAGGGAGGAAGGCUCUUGGGUUGUAAACCUCUUUUCUCAGGGAAUAAGCAAGUGAAGGUACCUGAGGAAUCAGCAUCGGCUAACUCCGUGCCAGCAGCCGCGGUAAUACGGAGGAUGCAAGCGUUAUCCGGAAUGAUUGGGCGUAAAGCGUCCGUAGGUAGCAGUGUGUGUCUAUUGUUAAAGAGUUUGGCUUAACCAAAUAAAGGCGGUAGAAACUACACAGCUAGAGUGCGUUCGGGGCAGAGGGAAUUCCUGGUGUGGCGGUGAAAUGCGUAGAGAUCAGGAAGAACACCGGUGGCGAAAGCGCUCUGCUAGGCCGCAACUGACACUGAGGGACGAAAGCUAGGGGAGCGAAUGGGAUUAGAUACCCCAGUAGUCCUAGCCGUAACCGAUGGAUACUAGGCGUUGAGAGUAUCGACCCUCUCAGUGCCGUAGCUAACGCGUUAAGUAUCCCGCCUGGGGAGUACGCACGCAAGUGUGAAACUCAAUGGAAUUGACCGGGGCCCGCCCAAGCGGUGG
rnacentral:rRNA from 1 species